rnacentral:misc_RNA from 1 species
GAACGCAUAUUGCGCUCUUUGGUAUUCCGAAGAGCAUGCUUGUUUGAGUAUCAGUAAACACCUCAAAGCUUUUGGAUUUUUUAAUCGAAAAGCUUUGGACUUGAGCAAUCCCAACACCAAUCUUUUUGAGAUCGGUGGCGGGUUGCUUGAAAUGCAGGUGCAGCUGGACAUUCUCCUGAGCUAAAAGCAUAUUCAUUUAUUCCCGUCAAACGGAUUAUUACUUUUGCUGCAGCUAACAUAAAGGGAGUUUGACCGUAUUGGCUGACUGAUGCAGGAUUUCACAAGGGUCGGCAACGAUUCUUGUUAAACUCGAUCUCAAAUCAAGUAAGACUACCCGCUGAACUUAAG